rnacentral:lncRNA from 1 species
UUCACAACUAAACAAAGAAAUAUGGAUAACCUAGUGCGUUUGAGCCACAAUAUGACUUUCAAUGCAAAUGUGGUCUAAUCCAUGAAUGAGUAACAGCAAAUGGUUACUUAGGAAAACACAAUAAUAUAAAUAUAAAAACAGGUAUUGUAACUACCAUUAAGCAGAAAAUAAUUAGGAUAAAGUAAACAUUGUGUUAGCGAAACCUAACUGUUAAAUAUAAAAAAUAUGUAGUUUGUACACGCUUGUAACAUGAAUAAGUGAAUAACGUUCGCAAAUUUCACAUCAUGGGACGAACCGGUCUCUCUUAUGACCCAACCAGACCACGGACCAUAUUUGGAACUUCCUUCACGUUCGCUCUUUACGUUCGUACGUUCGGGAGCCGAUUCGGAUGGCGCCAGUCGACAGAGAAAACUACACCUCCUGGCCUGUUGGUGGACACAGUUGACAUUUAUUUUAAACAGAGAGCUGCACCUGUCACUCUGAGGAGGAUGAUGGAGCAAAGCAAAGAACAACAAGCAACUGCCUUAAGCUUAGACAACACAGGCCCCCCACUCCUCAAGUUUUAUGCAGAUAAGACUGAAGGCUUUCCCCUCCCAGAGCUGGGUGGGUGCCCAGUAUGCAGGAGUUUAUCUGGCACACACGUCCCUCCCUCCAUAUUUCACUUCUGGUUCUACUCUCUCUUUCUGAUAGCUUUAUCACUGCGGAGGGGUCAGAUGCUGACACCAGCAUAAGGGCCGCUUAAAUCGCUCUAAACAACAUCUAUCAUGGACCCUAUAAAAUAAGCUUCAUGGCACGCACAAUACCCUGGCCUCGUGCUUGGAAAUGCUCGUCUAUCAUACGGCUGCUUGACUUCAGGAAGCCUUUUUUUUUUGAUGAUAUGUACAGGAUUCAGAAGAGGAAGGUUCUGAUUUGGCCCUAAUCAGUCUUUAUGAGUGAUUUUAGAUUAUAGACUGCAUGGGAGAUCAAUCACUCUUCAGGAGAGACAGGUAGGCUAUUUUGGAGGUGAUAAAUGGAAGUCGCCUACAGUUCUUUUUAUUGAUCAGGAAGAAGCUUGAUAUCAAACCCCUUUGGAUAGCUAAAAAAUGUCACAGAAAGGCAGUAAUGGUGGUUCUCAAUUUCAAAGGCAUGAUGACGGGAAGGCAUAGGAACUACGUGCAAAAGGGAGAGAAGGCAGACACUAAUUGACUGUGAUUAUUGGCCUAAUAUUAUGACAUGCUGACAGGUUGCUUAUAACUUCUUAGAAAAACUGAAACAAAUGGAGAGAGAGAGAGAGAGAUAGAGAUAGAUAGAGAGAGAGAGAGAGAGAGAGAGAGAGAGAUGCAGUAUGGCCCUUAAAUCACAACAGUCCUUCUGGCUGUUCAGCAACCACUAGAUUAAUAGCUGGACGCUAACAAAUUGCAGCAAAUUGUUAGUUCUCUGAGGUCAAAAAAGAAAAGAAAAAUGAGCACGUAAUAAGAAGAAAAAGCUUUCUUAUAAUGUGACUGAUUUUCCUGUUUGGCAGUCUCAAUGUGUUAAACACAUUUUUAUAGCCGCAAGUUCAUCUGGGGUAUUUUGACAGACUUACGUAAUUAAACAUUUUAGAUAACCAUAACAGCUGCUUGUUUCUGUUUUCUGCUUCUAUGAAGAGGCAAUUAAGGUAUAAGGUGUAGUGGUUUAAGCUUUUUAGUGUGAAGUCACAAUUCUCUGGAACAGCCUAUCACUUUAAAGAUUAAACAUAGGCAUUAGCAGGAUAUAAGUGCUACUCAUGACAUGAGAUAUAUCAUUCAAAUUAAGAGAGAAAAUCUCCAGAAUUUGAUGGAUAGGCAUAUCCGUAUAUUCAGACUGUGAUUUAAUGUGAUUGAUGUUAAACAUUGUUAACCAGAUAGAUGUGACUGUAAAUUUAUUCAGACAUGACAUACUUGUAACUGAUAAGUACAUUUCAUAAAACUGUGUCUGAUAUUAACCCAUGUCUGUACAUUGCACCGAUGUAGACACUUAAUAUUUGUUUUUCCGUGAGCAAAUGAACAUAAUGACAACAAGUCUACACUUGUGCUCUAGAUGUCGUUUAUAUCCCCCUUUUUUUUUUUGCUUGUUUAGCGAGUCUCUCUCCUGCAUAUGAAUGGUGUUAAAUGUCAAAUAUCUAUUUUAGCUCACUGUAGUUGUCUCUUCUUUUUCUUGGAGAAUUACAGUGGUUGAAUGAAUAACUUGUCUGAGAAAAAAUAAGAAAUCUAAAGAGAUUAAAGUUCAAUGUAAAUAAAUAUUUUAAUGACAUUUCAAAUGUGCACACUCAAAUCUAUGCAAAAAUUUAUAUUUUGUGAGCUUUUAGUCAGACCUUCAAGGCAAAACAAGAUAGCAAGUGAAUGCAGCAGUACACAGGAUUGAAAGAACAUUACUAGCCUUAUUGCAGAAUACUUGUCUGUCAGUUGAGCUUGUGUGUCAUCAGUUGAACUUGGG